ensembl:antisense Zeb2os zinc finger E-box binding homeobox 2, opposite strand
UUCUGCUUAGAAAACAGCCUUCUCCGGUGGGAAAGGUUAGACUAGUCUGCCAGAUCUAAGAGAAGGACUUGCUCCCGAAUUUGUUUUGGCCAGAAAUGGUGAGAAGAAAAAGCAUGAAGAAGCCGCGAAGUGUGGGGGAGAAAAAGGUGGAGGCGAAGAAACAGCUCCCGGAGCAAACUGAACAAAACCUCGCCAAGAGUGUCUGGAGGCAGGACCGUUAUUCCUGCCGAGCAGGGGAGAGAAGAGAGACCCUGAAACACGCGCCACCUAUCUUUGUGGGGAGGGAUAAUUGAAGCGCCCUGAGCGUGAGCAUCAUGUGAAAACGUGAUCGCCAAGUUUCUCUCUGGGAAAGGAUCUGGGAUAGAUUAUACCUUGAAGUCUCCGCAAACGCUUUAGUGGAAGAAAUGAAAUUCCACCUCCCUCCCUUCCUCUCUCCCNNNNNNNNNNNNNNNNNNNNNNNNNCCCCCCCCCCGUCAAGCAAGCCUUUGGCAUCAUUAUCCUCAUCACUAAAUCCUGCAGAGUACUGGGCGGAAAACGGUGCACACCAUUCACAGAACUGGAGAACUCCAAGGGGCGAAAGUUAAAGGGAAAGCUCUCGGGUCUUCCAUGCAGAUCUCUUGUCUUAUACAGAUAUCUCUGGUGACUAGGUUUGAGGUGCACGUCAAGUUGUAUGGAUACCUCAAGCACCGUUUUUGGAACUAAAUUCUUGCCCUUUCUCUUAUUACAUUUUUUUUAAAAGAUGCCAGAGCUAGGGGAGGGAAAUGCUACUUGUACACUGCAUCUUAGGAUCUCAGUGUGCAGUGUAUGUGUGUAUGUGUGUGUGUGUGUGUGAGGGGGGGGAGAUUUUCUGGAUUGGAUCCCUAUAUUAAAAGUUUGGCAUUUUAAUAAAGGGUCUCUAGGUUAACAUAGAGCUGUACUAUGCUGGCCAAUCUCUGGACCCCUCUACACCUCAUGCAGACCACAUUACAAAGUGAGGGGACAGGGGCAGGAGGAAGAAGGAGAAAGGUCAGAGGAACUUAGGAUGAAAGAAAGAAGAGGGUGACACUAAACUGUGUGGGGUCUAAGUUUUGAAGUGCAUAUUUUUGAUAUUGCAAUUAAACUAAAAUUAAAAAGAAAAGACUCCACCUUUGCUCUGAAGGGAUUGGUUAUGCAAAUAUGGAAGGGAUUUCCUGGAGAAUACAGCUUUCUACUGUAUGGUUAAUUAAAUAAUCACUCAAAAA